GAUGAACGCUGGCGGCGUGCCUAAUACAUGCAAGUCGAGCGAACGGACGAGAAGCUUGCUCCUCUGACGUUAGCGGCGGACGGGUGAGUAACACGUGGAUAACCUACCUAUAAGACUGGGAUAACUUCGGGAAACCGGAGCUAAUACCGGAUAAUAUAUUGAACCGCAUGGUUCAAUAGUGAAAGACGGUUUUGCUGUCACUUAUAGAUGGAUCCGCGCUGCAUUAGCUAGUUGGUAAGGUAACGGCUUACCAAGGCGACGAUGCAUAGCCGACCUGAGAGGGUGAUCGGCCACCCUGGAACUGAGACACGGUCCAGACUCCUACGGGAGGCAGCAGUAGGGAAUCUUCCGCAAUGGGCGAAAGCCUGACGGAGCAACGCCGCGUGAGUGAUGAAGGUCUUCGGAUCGUAAAACUCUGUUAUUAGGGAAGAACAAAUGUGUAAGUAACUGUGCACAUCUUGACGGUACCUAAUCAGAAAGCCACGGCUAACUACGUG
rnacentral:rRNA from 1 species